UACAGAGGUCUCAAGCGUUGUUCGGAUUCAUUGGGCGUAAAGGGUGCGUAGGCGGCGCGGUAAGUCGGGUGUGAAAUCUCGGAGCUUAACUCCGAAACUGCAUUCGAUACUGCCGUGCUUGAGGACUGGAGAGGAGACUGGAAUUUACGGUGUAGCGGUGAAAUGCGUAGAGAUGUGGAGGAACACCGAUGGCGAAGGCAGCCCCCUGGGCUGAGAUUGACGCUCAGGCACGAAAGCGUGGGGAGCAAACAGG
rnacentral:rRNA from 1 species